AAGACACCAAGGGCCCUUCAAAACACAUGAUGUUCCUGCUCACAGCAUAAAGCCCAGUUCCCUUUGGCCUCUGCAGGUUGGCUCAUCACCAGAGAACCUGUGCCUCCUCUGAGACUAAAGCACCACUCCAGUAACAGGUCCAAGGACUGAGCCAAGGUACUAGUGGACUAAUUUUUGGGAGGCUCUGGAAAGCUCAUUGAACACUUUCCUCACAAGUCUACCAGGAUUUAGGUGUUGCCAAGGGAAUUCUUUCAGAAAUUCCAGGCCUAACAAUGAUCCUGGCAACUUCCUUGUUCCCCAGAUGGCUGUGGGUUGAAAGAGUCCAAAGUCUCAAUGCCAAGACUGCUGCCUGUCUUUUGGCUUCCUUGAUGAUGUGUCUCCCUUUUCCCAGAGAGAUAAGUACAGCAAAAAGGUAAGAGAAGUGAUGAGAAACGUUGGAAGGCACAAUGGGUUAAUAUAUGACACAACUCCAAACUGUGAGCAACUUAUAUGACCUUUAGCAACUUUAUUCCUCAACAUGAGCCUUCAUUUCCUCAUUUAUAACAUGAGUAGGUGAGACUAGAUGCUAUUUCUUUUAUAGCUGCCAUUCUUGAGUCCCGAUGGUACACGGACACAUUGUUAGGUAAGGCUGAGGUUAUCAGAAAUUUCUAUUUCAUUUGUCUUGACUCUGUUAAAUCAAUUGUCACUAGCCCUUGAUUUCCUUCUGGCAGCACAACCACCAUUGUCUUUGAGCAUUUGUUGUGUAUCAAAUAAUGAGCUAAGAACUUUAUGUACAUUAUCUCAUUUCAUUCUCACUAUAAUUUAUUAGGUUACUAUAUUUAUACCUAUUUUGGGGAUGUGAAAAACUGGAGCAAAAAGAGAUGAAAUGAUUUAUCCAAAGUUUUCCAGCUAAUUAAUGGCAGAGCCAGGAUUUAAGCCCAUGUUCAACCUCAAUUCUUAAGUUUAUAUACACAAUACUAUAAAACAUUAUCUGGGAGAUUUAGGAAGGAAAGGGUCCUGGUCCCUUCUUGAGGUUAGGAAGGCAGGAUGUUAAUGAAAUUGUUCUCCCUAUGCUACAUAGAGGAUCCCACUAAAGCUUGGGACCCUUAAAAUGUCAUAGCUAUAAGACUCAGGCCUGAGGAAUCCCCAGCUGAGCACUGAGGUCUCACCUGCAGUCUCAACUAGGAGUUCCCUACCUACCCGCAGGGACCCUCUUUUGAUUAGGAGCCUUAUGCCUAUUUUGCUCACUUCCUUUAUUCUGGUGCUUUGGCUAGUCCAUAGAGCCUGUGUAGUUUCCCUGGAGGCCACGGUGUGACUCUUUUCUCUCUCUUUCCCUCUAGGCCUACAUCUCCCAAGAAGAUCUCAUCUCCCCACUGAAGCCCCUGGCUCGGCCUCCUGCAGUGCCACGCUCCGUGUAUUUGACAAGCUGAGUUGGACACUCCAUGUGGUAGAGUGUCAGUUUGUCAAAUACCCCAAGUGCGGCAUGUGCCUAGCAGCUCCAAGCCAGGGCAGUUGGGGUACAACAAAUAGAUGAUCAGCAGGAUAAAAGAACACACAACAAAUACCAACUAAGCUCUCACAAGUUAUUUUAGGUAACUUUGAGAGAAUGUAAGCAUUGUAUCUGAGGUUACCAGUGGAAAAGUCAGACAGCUUUGAGAGCCACAGCCCUGGGUGGUGCCUACAUAUAUUGUGAGAGCCUGAGGGGGGCAAGGUAGCCUUGAAAAGGUAUCCAGGGCCCAGGGAUGAAAAUGCUACUUGAUUCAUUAUAUUUUUUCCUUCACAUUCCCCAUUCCAGAGUAUCCCAGCAAGGACACCAGAAGUCUCACACAACCAUCAUGGCAGGGCUUAGAAGCCCAUUUUUCUGACACUCAGUCUUAGCUCUAAACGCACUUUGACCUUACCUAUCUCUCUCCUUUUCCUCAUGCUUUUUCUCCUUCUGAGAACACCAUCCCCAUUUAUUUCUGCCUAUCCAAUUUCUUCCCAUAUUUCCUUGUCCAGGCAAAAUCAAGUUUCUGCAGGGACUUUUGAAAAAUAAACCUAUACUUUUUUCCUUCAUUCUCAAAUCACUUCUUGCCUGGGUCCUUCUAUGUACACCUUUAUCUCCUACUGCCCAAUAACACUGCUUAAAUUGUUAAUUAUCUUUUUCAGAAUAUAUUUUGAAUCCUCUACUUUGUUUAUGACAAGACCAUGUUUCCUUGAUUGCUGUCUCUCCAUUCCAUUCCUACCCCACAGGACUCUGGUUACAGAAAAUAUUCAAUAAAGUUUUACUGAUUGAUUGA